rnacentral:rRNA from 1 species
AACGCGAAGAACCUUACCAGGUCUUGACAUCCUCUGACAACCCUAGAGAUAGGGCGUUCCCCUUCGGGGGACAGAGUGACAGGUGGUGCAUGGUUGUCGUCAGCUCGUGUCGUGAGAUGUUGGGUUAAGUCCCGCAACGAGCGCAACCCUUGAUCUUAGUUGCCAGCAUUCAGUUGGGCACUCUAAGGUGACUGCCGGUGACAAACCGGAGGAAGGUGGGGAUGACGUCAAAUCAUCAUGCCCCUUAUGACCUGGGCUACACACGUGCUACAAUGGAUGGUACAAAGGGCAGCAAAGCCGCGAGGCCGAGCAAAUCCCAUAAAGCCAUUCUCAGUUCGGAUUGCAGGCUGCAACUCGCCUGCAUGAAGCCGGAAUCGCUAGUAAUCGCGGAUCAGCAUGCCGCGGUGAAUACGUUCCCGGGCCUUGUACACACCGUGUCGA